GGGGUUUUAGCUCAGCGGCAUAAGCGCCUGCCUGGCAAGCAGGCAGUUGUGAGUUCAAUCCCCA
rnacentral:tRNA from 1 species